GCUUACGACCACACCGGCCUGAGUACGCCUGAUCUCGUCUGAUCUCGGAAGCUAAGCAGGGUCGGGCCUGGUUAGUGGAUGGGAGACUUCCUGGGAAUACCAGGUGCUGUAAGCU
ensembl:rRNA 5S_rRNA 5S ribosomal RNA